GACAGAGGGUGCAACCGUUGUUCGGAAUUACUGGGCGUAAAGCGCGUGUAGGCGGCCCUGCAAGUCGGAUGUGAAAUCCCACGGCUCAACCGUGGAAGUGCAUUCGAAACUGCAGGGCUAGAGUCCUGGAGAGGAAGGUGGAAUGCUUGGUGUAGAGGUGAAAUUCGUAGAUAUCGGGAGGAACACCGGUGGCGAAGGCGGCGACCUGGGUCGAGACUGACGCUGAGGCGCGAAAGCGUGGGGAGCAAACAGG
rnacentral:rRNA from 1 species